rnacentral:rRNA from 1 species
AUUGAACGCUGGCGGCAGGCUUAACACAUGCAAGUCGAACGAGUGGCGGACGGGCGAGCAAUGCUUUGGCAUCUAGCUUAUGGAGGGGGAUAACUACGAGAACCUGUAGCUACUACCGCUUACGAUAGGAUGAGCCCUAGUGGGUUUAGGUAGUUGGUGAGGUAAAGGCUCACCAAGACGACGAUCUCUAGCUGGUCUGAGAGGAUGACCAGCCACACUGGGACUGAGACACGGCCCAGACUCCUACGGGAGGCAGCAGUGGGGAAUAUUGCGCAAUGGGGGCAACCUGACGCAGCAAUGCCGCGUGAAUGAAGAAGGCCUUCGGGUUGUAAAGUUCUUUCGGUAGCGAGGCGUUAACUACAGAAGAAGCAACGGCUAACUCCGUGCCAGCAGCCGCGGUAAUUC